GACAGCGGUUGGUGAUUGGAGGAUACGCUGGACAAGGCAGUACUUAAGGCCAAGUUAUUUCACAGUCUGGGAGCUCUUUCUGGUGUGUGUGAAGCACUGUGUCGUGCCCGUCUUGGUGCGCUGCUGGUGGCUGUCUAACUCUCUCUCUCUCCCUCAGGCUGGAAUUGUAUGAUUGUGAAGACAUCGCGAACCUUAAAGGUUGAGAAGUGAACGGAUUAUACGGCGAAUUGAGACGACGUGAAAAAGGGGAUUGGAAGCGGCAUUGAUGUGAGUACUAAGAGCAAGCCGAAAGUGCCCUGUAUAUUGACCUGGCGUUGUGUAGAUCUCCCCAGGAGGAGGAGGGCGGCCCUACCCCUAAUAUAGCGUGGUGGGAGAGCCGAAGGAAUACUUAUUGAAGUAGUCACAACGACGACAUCACUAGCUAGGCCGCAUAUUCCAUCGCCAGAUCCGAACCAAGCGGAGUGAAGGAAGACGGGUGUCCUUUUCGUACACUGAGUGUGGUGGGUGAGUCUUCGUGCUGUGAAAACCUAUAAUUUUGACGUGGUGCUGUAUAUUGCUGUGGGUUGCUGUGUAUUGCCGUGUGUCCUGUCAGAUAAACCCCCGCCUUCACGCACUCCGUCGCGGGAGGACAAGGAGACUGCUGGUUCUAGCCUAGUUCAGUACAGUAUAUGUUGUGAGCGUGCUUCAGAUCUCCGGAGAUAGCACGGUACGUUGUGUCCAGCCCAGAGGUGGGAGCUAUUCAAAGCAAACUAACUGUGCUUUGUGUCCAAUCUGAUACCUGUGGAGAGAAAAGGAAAGAGAGAUUGAUACCUGUGGAGAGAAAAGGAGAGAGAGUGAAUAACACGAGGAGGAAUAGAGCGAACCCUGUACUUACAGUACGUUGUGUCCAGCCCAGAGGUGAAAGCCAUCCAAAGCAGAGUAACUGUGUUUUGUGUCCAAGUUGAUACCUGUAGAGAGGAGGAGAGAGAGUGGAUAACGCGAGGAGAAAUAGAGCGAAACCUGUACUUACAGUACGCUGUGUUCAGCCCAGAGGUGAGAGUCAUUCAAAGCAAACUAACUGUGCUAUUGUGCCCAAGUUGAUACCUGUGGAGAGAAAAGGAGAGAGAGUGGGUAACACGAGGAGAGACCGAGGAAACCUGUACUUACGCCGCUGCCUGUGGAGAAAGAGAAAGCGAGUGAGCACCCAAGGAACGAACUGUGUGAACCAGUACUUACUGUGAGCUGCAAACAGCGAAGAGGUGAGAGCAAAAACCAAGCCGAAUUAACUGUGCCUUUGCGUCCCAGCCGUUGCCUGUGGAGGAAGAGAAAGAGAGUGAGCACCCCGAGAACGAACUGUGUGAACCAGUACUUACCGUGAGUUGUAUUCAGCGAAGAGGAGGAAGAAGGAGGGCGCUACGGAUACCUAAGACUCUGGCCGGGCCCCGAGUCCCACGCCCCGGAUCCCCGUGGCCCCCUUGCUCCCUGACCUCUUCCCGGCCAUAGCCCAUCUGGAGGGCCGAGUCAGAGUUUAGUUUUAAUUGCCCUUUCCCUAUUCCCCAAGCUAUUUUUAAAUAUUUAAAUAAAGAUUGUUUUAUCACUUA